rnacentral:rRNA from 1 species
CGGAGCUUGCUCCACCGAAAGAAAAGGAGUGGCGAACGGGUGAGUAACACGUGGGUAACCUGCCCAUCAGAAGGGGAUAACACUUGGAAACAGGUGCUAAUACCGUAUAACAAUCGAAACCGCAUGGUUUCGGUUUGAAAGGCGCUUUUGCGUCACUGAUGGAUGGACCCGCGGUGCAUUAGCUAGUUGGUGAGGUAACGGCUCACCAAGGCAACGAUGCAUAGCCGACCUGAGAGGGUGAUCGGCCACAUUGGGACUGAGACACGGUCCAAAUUUCUACGGGAGGCAGCAGUAGGGAAUCUUCGGCAAUGGACGCAAGUCUGACCGAGCAACGCCGCGUGAGUGAAGAAGGUUUUCGGAUCGUAAAACUCUGUUGUUAGAGAAGAACAAGGAUGAGAGUAGAAUGUUCAUCCCUUGACGGUAUCUAACCAGAAAGCCACGGCUAACUACGUGCCAGCAGCCGCGGUAAUACGUAGGUGGCAAGCGUUGUCCGGAUUUAUUGGGCGUAAAGCGAGCGCAGGCGGUUUCUUAAGUCUGAUGUGAAAGCCCCCGGCUCAACCGGGGAGGGUCAUUGGAAACUGGGAAACUUGAGUGCAGAAGAGGAGAGUGGAAUUCCAUGUGUAGCGGUGAAAUGCGUAGAUAUAUGGAGGAACACCAGUGGCGAAGGCGGCUCUCUGGUCUGUAACUGACGCUGAGGCUCGAAAGCGUGGGGGAGCAAACAGGAUUAGAUACCCUGGUAGUCCACGCCGUAAACGAUGAGUGCUAAGUGUUGGAGGGUUUCCGCCCUUCAGUGCUGCAGCUAACGCAUUAAGCACUCCGCCUGGGGAGUACGACCGCAAGGUUGAAACUCAAAGGAAUUGACGGGGGGCCCGCACAAGCGGUGGAGCAUGUGGUUUAAUU